AUCACCAUUUUAAAGCCAGUUGCAUUUUUGGUGAUGUUCUCCCAUUUUCUCUCUUUUUCUAAAAAUUACAUGUUGUUAGCCUUGUUGGAGUUGAAUGCUUGUUGUAGGCUCAAUAUUGUGAUCUUGUAGUUGAACUUUUGAUGAUAGUGAAGCUUUUGAUCUGACU